rnacentral:misc_RNA from 1 species
AUAAAUAAAAUACAGAAGAUAAAUCAAAACACACCUGUAAAAAUUACUAGUCAUCAAUACAAUUGGGAGUCCAGGAGUAUCGAACCAAGUGAAAAUAUGAAUACAAGACAGAACUUUCAAAGAACAAACAACCACCCAAUCGUGCUUUGCUAUCAUUUAACUGACCAAAUACAAACUAAAAACUAAAAAACAUUGACCAAAUACAACAACACAAGGAAAGUUGCUACACACAGAAAUUCCGAGGAAAAUUAGACUAAACGCCUUGUGGAUCCAUCUGUUCUCUCUGGCACAUAGGGCAGCCAAAUUGCGUACUUCCGCUUCCAUCAGAUUCUAUAUGUAGAUUCAUGGGACCCAAGUAUUUGCACAUCAAGAUAAAAGUAUGGCUGGUUUGUCGAAAAACUCUUGAGCAGAACACACACACGGAGAAUGCCAGAGGUAUCAUCGAAAACUGUAUUGGCUGUUUCUUGCCAUUGCUCAAGAAGUUAUAAUGGAGACAGGAAGAGAUGAGAGUUAAUAAAGAACAUAUCAAGCCAAAAGAAUCUGCAAACUCCCACUGUAACUUAUAAUGGUAAUGAUGCUUAUCAUCUGGCCUUCUAGUUUUGUCUCGUAGGAGCAUACACUUCUUGUACGCAAGAUCCGUAAAGCUUAGAAGGACAGAAACAAUAGCCAUAAUCACUCCAUAUUUUGCAGCUUUCACCUUAUGUGGAGAGGUCUGCUCAAAUGCUGCUGAUAUGGCCUCAGCUACGACGGCAAUAAUAGACAGAAUUAUGUCCCACCUGAUCCAUCGAGGCUGGAAUUAGACAACAAAAAUCAUUACCAACAUUCAGAAAAGAAAAGAAAUGAAAAAGAUGAUGACGGACUAGUAAUGCAUAUAUGCAUAUCAAACUUCAUAGAAGAAUAGAGAAGAGAGUAUCUGAUCUUUGCCAAAUUAUCCAUGAAACCUUCGGGCAUUUGGAGGCAGUUUGGUAGGCUUAAGGAAGAAGGGAAGAGAGUAAUCCUUGAUUCCUUCUAAUUGGAAGUGUGAGAAUGCAAAUUCCAAACUGAGGGAAGAAAGGCAGUUUGGCAAGGCUUAGAAAGAAAGGAACAGAGCACACCCUAGAUUCCUUCUAAGUGGAAUAAUUGCGCGAAUGCAAAUUCCUAAUUGGAAAAAUUGUGACCGCAAAUUCCAAAUUGAAGGGAAGAGAGUACACCCUGAAGCCUAUCAGCUUUGAAAUAUUUGCAGUCAAUAGGUCUGAGACAAGAUGUUUGAAUUAUUAUGCACUUUAUUUCGUUCUCUGAGGUAAUUUAUCAUACCAGAAGAGAAAUUUGGAAAAAUGUGUAUUGCGGGAAUCCGCAGUUAAACAAUAAAAAUCCGCACGCGCCAAGGGGGAGAACACGACAGUGUAUUGCGCCAGAACUCAAAGGGCAGCACCCAAGGCAACAAGGGGAAGAAGGCGACAAGAUCCAAACCGUGCUAAGGGAACCACGGCUAUAUUAUAGAAUUUCUCGAGGGGAAGAAGGCAACAAAAAUUGGAACCACAAGGGUGCCAAGGGAACCACAAGGUGCAGGCAACAACUUGGAAGAAGAUAAUAACAACUGUUGGGGAAAGAAAGCGAACCACAAUUUGAACCACAAGGGUGCUAAGGGAAGAGAGUACGCUUUUGAUUCCUUCUAAUGGAACUCCAGACUGCACACUUAAGGCUUUUGAGAGAGAAAUGGCUUUAUGGAU